rnacentral:tRNA from 1 species
GGUAAGUUGGUGUAAUCGGUCAGCACACUUAAUAGUGAAACUAAGAGGUAUGGGUUCGAUUCCCAUGCAUAAUU